rnacentral:piRNA from 1 species
UUUUUCAGAACUGGUUGUUAA